rnacentral:rRNA from 1 species
UGGUGGAGUGAUUUGUCUGCUUAAUUGCGAUAACGAACGAGACCUUAACCUGCUAACUAGUUACGCGAACCUUUGCGUUCGUGGCCAACUUCUUAGAGGGACUUUUGCGUGUUUUAACCAAAGGAAGUUUGAGGCAAUAACA